CAUGAUGUCACUGAGAAUCGCCAUGGCCUAGCUUCUAAACAGCUUUCCUUACAUUGACCACAUUUGAGGGUGACAUUUUCAGGAGUGUCUCCUGUUUAACAGUGGAAACCUUUACAUACUACAUCUCUCUAAAGGAUGGAAAUGAAGAAGAGCCUGAGGAACAGAAAUCAAAAAUUGGAUCCAGCUCAGAUAGAGGCACCAGCACCAGACACAAUUACUGAUGACACUGAGUCACCAAUGCAGCAGCAUGCACCAGCUAAUAUGAAGCCCCUAAGACUGGAGUGCUCAGUCUGGACACGAACAGAGAAGAUGCACUUAACACUCAAGACACUUGAGUUCCCAGGGAGUGGAGAAGUCUGGUAGACUGGGGGUGGAGUGGGAGACAGCUUCAUUCAGAUGGCCAUGUGGGGUGUAGG